rnacentral:rRNA from 1 species
UACGAAGGGGGCUAGCGUUGCUCGGAAUCACUGGGCGUAAAGCGCACGUAGGCGGCUUUUUAAGUCAGGGGUGAAAUCCUGGAGCUCAACUCCAGAACUGCCUUUGAUACUGGGAAGCUUGAGUCCGGGAGAGGUGAGUGGAACUCCGAGUGUAGAGGUGAAAUUCGUAGAUAUUCGGAAGAACACCAGUGGCGAAGGCGGCUCACUGGCCCGGUACUGACGCUGGGGUGCGAAAGCGUGGGGAGCAAACAGG